rfam:Picoides pubescens contig90684, whole genome shotgun sequence.
CAGCAUCCUCUGAUAGACCAAGGGCACUCUUCCUGUUGCUCUCUGGUUUGCACUACGAUGCGACAGUAAACUUCCUUGCGCUUUCUGCCUGCCUCUGCCUGUGGCAGCUCAGAUUGAAUUAGGGAAUACACAG